rnacentral:snRNA from 1 species
GUGCUCGCUUUGGCAGCACAUAUGCUAAAAUUGAAAUGACACAGAGAAGAUAAUGCAUGGCCCCUGCAUGAAGAUGACACGAAAAUUCGUGACACGUUCGUUCCAGAAUUUU